rnacentral:rRNA from 1 species
UACGGAGGGGGCUAGCGUUGUUCGGAAUUACUGGGCGUAAAGCGCACGUAGGCGGCUUUGUAAGUUAGAGGUGAAAGCCCAGGGCUCAACCCUGGAAUUGCCUUUGAUACUGGAUGUCUCGAGACCGGGAGAGGUGAGUGGAAUUCCGAGUGUAGAGGUGAAAUUCGUAGAUAUUCGGAAGAACACCAGUGGCGAAGGCGGCUCACUGGCCCGGUUCUGACGCUGAGGUGCGAAAGCGUGGGGAGCAAACAGG